rnacentral:sRNA from 1 species
GCUGGGCGUCAUGGCGGGUGCCUGUAAUCCCAGCUACUUAGGAGGCUGAGGCAGGAGAAUUGCUUGAACCUGGGAGGCGGAGGUUGCAGUGAGACUGCUCACUGCUGAGACUGCUCCACUGCACUCCGACCUGGGUGACAGAGCGAGACUCUGUCUCUU